ensembl:snRNA U2 U2 spliceosomal RNA
AUAUUUUUCAAUAAAAAAAAAAUCUGUUCUUAUCAGUUUAAUAUCUGAUACGUCCCCUAUCUGGGGACCAUAUAUUAAAUGGAUUUUUGGAACAGGGAGAUGGAAGAAGAGCUUGCUCUGUCCACUCCACGCAUCGACCUGGUAUUGCAGUACCUCCAGGACCGGUGCACCUCUC